GGGGUUGACUGGAUUUGACAGCGAGAUGAGAUGAUGUGUAAGCACGUAGAGCAUUGGAUGUUGGCUCUUUAAUAUUAACGUUCAAAAAAUUUAAUUGGCGAAACAAAUUACGCUCUCGCUGCUUAAUCGAAGUAUAGUAGAUUAAAAGCUUAAUUCGUGCAUUAGAUGCGUGAACGAGACAUCACUCAAGAAAUCUUUUUCCGAAUUAUCUUGACUAAGUGGUGCUGUUAAAUCGGAGAUAGUUGUGUUGGUCUCGAAGCACAAGCGAACUUUUUAGAGACUAAGAUUGUAAUUGGUGGCUCAGGUCUUGUUACAGUUUGAAAACCAAAGGCUGAGAUAAACGUGUAGAAAGCAUGUUGUUUCCUUGUUUGGACGUGGGUUCGAAACCCACCAGCUCCACA
rnacentral:tmRNA from 1 species